UACCAGCACCCCGAGUGGUCGGGACGAUUAUUGGGCCUAAAGCAUCCGUAGCCGGUUCUACAAGUCUUCCGUUAAAUCCACCUGCUUAACAGAUGGGCUGCGGAGGAUACUAUGGAGCUAGGAGGCGGGGAGAGGCAAGCGGUACUUAGUGGGUAGGGGUAAAAAUCCGUUGAUCCAUUGAAGACCACCAGUGGCGAAGGCGGCUUGCCAGAACG
rnacentral:rRNA from 1 species